rnacentral:rRNA from 1 species
GGUAGAAGGAGCUUGCUCCUUUGAGACCGGCGCACGGGUGCGUAACGCGUAUAGAACCUACCUUUUACAGAGGGAUAGCCCAGAGAAAUUUGGAUUAAUACCUCAUAAUAUUAUUGGAUGGCAUCAUUUGAUAAUUAAAGUUUCGGCGGUAAAAGAUGGCUAUGCGUCCUAUUAGUUAGUUGGAGGGGUAACGGCUCACCAAGACAUCGAUAGGUAGGGGUCCUGAGAGGGAGAUCCCCCACACUGGUACUGAGACACGGACCAGACUCCUACGGGAGGCAGCAGUGAGGAAUAUUGGACAAUGGGCGCAAGCCUGAUCCAGCCAUGCCGCGUGCAGGAAGACGGCCCUAUGGGUUGUAAACUGCUUUUAUACAGGAAGAAACACUCCCUCGUGAGGGAACUUGACGGUACUGUAUGAAUAAGCACCGGCUAACUCCGUGCCAGCAGCCGCGGUAAUACAGGGGGUGCAAGCGUUGUUCGGAAUUACUGGGCGUAAAGGGAGCGUAGGCGGAAUUGCAAGACAGAGGUUAAAUCUCCGGGCUCAACCUGGAACUUGCCUUUGUGACUGCAGUUCUUGAGUAUGGUAGAGGUCAGUGGAAUUUCCGGUGUAGCGGUGGAAUGCGUAGAGAUCGGAAAGAACACCAGAGGCGAAGGCGACUGACUGGACCAAUACUGACGCUGAGGCUCGAAAGCGUGGGGAGCAAACAGGAUUAGAUACCCUGGUAGUCCACGCUGUAAACGAUGAACACUAGAUGUCGGGAGGGGUUCCUUCCGGUGUCGUCGCUAACGCAGUAAGUGUUC